rnacentral:rRNA from 1 species
CUGCUGCCUUCCGUAGGUGUCUGGACCGUGUCUCAGUUCCAGUGUGGCCGGACAUCCUCUCAGACCGGCUACCCGUCAUCGCCUUGGUGAGCCGUUACCUCACCAACUAACUAAUAGGCCGCGAGCCCAUCCUCAAGCGCAUUGCUGCUUUAAUCUUUCGAUACUAUGCGGUAUUAAUCCCAGUUUCCCAGGGCUAUCCCGCUCUCGGGGGCAGGUUACUCACGUGUUACUCACCCGUGCGCCA